rnacentral:sRNA from 1 species
CAUGGAGUAGCCGUCUCUGGGGUAUUGUGGACCUUUUUCGCUGGCCUAAUAUGAGCCCUACUGGCUCAAUGGUGCUUGAGACGAUCCGUAAGCUACCAGGCCUUCUGCUUGGCCGAGCUAGCGGCCAAUCUCUCUCUCUCUCUCGCAUCGCCUGCAUCAGCUACGUACAUUUCUUCCAAAAUCAGAUCUACGUGGCAAAAAUUUAACCUUAUGCAUUCUCCUCUCCCUUCAAUAAUGUCAAUACAUCAUGCAAGAAUGUUAGCAAAUUCUUGAUCAGGUUCUUUUCAAUGGGAAUACAAAUGAAGGCUUUCAAUAAUAUUUU